UAGGGAAUCUUCCGCAAUGGGCGAAAGCUUGACGGAGCAACGCCGCGUGAGUGAUGAAGGUCUUCGGGUCGUAAAACUCUGUUAUUAGGGAAGAACAAAUGUGUAAGUAACUAUGCACGUCUUGACGGUACCUAAUCAGAAAGCCACGGCUAACUACGUGCCAGCAGCCGCGGUAAUACGUAGGUGGCAAGCGUUAUCCGGAAUUAUUGGGCGUAAAGCGCGCGUAGGCGGUUUUUUAAGUCUGAUGUGAAAGCCCACGGCUCAACCGGGGAGGGUCAUUGGAAACUGGAAAACUUGAGUGCAGAAGAGGAAGGUGGAAUUCCAUGUGUAGCGGUGAAAUGCGCAGAGAUAAGGAGGAACACCAGUGGCGAAGGCGACUUUCUGGGCUGUAACUGACGCUGAUGUGCGAAAGCGUGGGGAUCAAACAGG
rnacentral:rRNA from 1 species